rnacentral:sRNA from 1 species
CUCCCUGAACACUCGGAGGUGGCGGUGGAUCUUACUCCUUUCAGCCAGUGAGGAUCCAGCGAGCUGCUCCGUGCCUCCCGCGCCUGUUGGUUGGAAGUGACGACCUUGAAGAUCGGCCGGUUGGAAGUGACGACCUUGAAGAUCGGCGGGCGCAGCGGGGCCGAGGGGGCGGGUCUGGCGCUAGGUCCAGCCCCUGCGUGCCGGGAACCCCAGAGGAGGUCGCAGUUCAGCCCAGCUGAGGCCUGUCUGCAGAAUCGACACCAACCAGCAUCAUGUCCAUGACACUGGGGUACUGGGACAUCCGCGGGCUGGCCCACGCCAUCCGCCUGCUCCUGGAAUACACAGACUCAAGCUACGAGGAAAAGAAGUACACGAUGGGGGACGCUCCUGACUAUGACAGAAGCCAGUGGCUGAAUGAAAAAUUCAAGCUGGGCCUGGACUUUCCCAAUGUAGGUGCAGGGGAAGGGGCAGUUUUUGGGGAAAAGUGCGACGUGUCUCUGACUGCAUCUCCUCUCCCCAGCUUAGAGGUGUUCGGAUCAGGAGUCUUCUGCCCAAUUCCUCUCACUCCUGGUUGUCUACACAGCCCCUCCAUGAUGUUCUGUGUCCCAGCUCAUUUGUUCAUGUGACAGUAUUUCUAUGUCAGGCCUGCCAUGAGCGGGCACAGUGAGUGCCCGGUCUCCCCUCUGCCCUUGCAUAUGGGAAGGGGAUGCUGGGGAGCCUGGUGGCCCAACUGAGCUUCCCCGGUUUCCCAUCUAUCCAGCUGCCCUACUUGAUUGAUGGGGCUCACAAGAUCACCCAGAGCAAC